rnacentral:other from 1 species
UUUGCCCUGCGGUGUGCGUAGGAGCUUUGAAGUUUUGAUCCAACACCAUUAAAUUGGGAGCCGGACUCUGUGGGUGGCUUGCAGGUCUCACUCCGAGGGGAUAGCAAAAAAUUCGCAGGAGGCACCCCCGUUGGCAGACGGGUUCAGAAAACUUGGGCUUUUACGGCACGGUGGGGCUUUA